GAAAAACAUUCAAAAAUUAUCUUUAAAAUAAGUUUUAACUUAAUUUAUUUACUAAUAUUGAGAAAAAAAAAGAGAUGGAUAAACAUUUUUCUUUUGAGCUUUUUAUUUUUUAUUUUUGUUAAUCAAAUAAAUAAAUGAAUAAAGACUCCAUUCGCAAAUUUGGUUCUAGAUAACUGUGUCCGAAAAAAGAUAAGCCAGGAAAUAAAAAUUUCAUGGACGAGAUUGCUACAACGGAAGCUGUUAAUGUCGCAAACGAAGAAAUUGCCUCAAAACAUUGGUGUCAAAGACAGUUUUGGGACAGAGUGCGUUUGCUUGAAUCAAAGAAAUUCAAAUAGCAGAUUCAGAAGUUAAGCAUGCUUGAACCAAAGAAAUUGAAAUAGCAGAUUCAGAAGUGAAAGCAAUUAAGAAAGAAGUGAGAUAUUGCAGUGAUAAAGGGCCUGAAAGAUCACAAAAAAUCAAAUUCAGACGAGUGACACUGCAGAAUUUGAUUUCGCAAGUUUAUGAAAAACGAUUGAUUGGACCGUAGGGUUAUCAGGAUCCAUUCAAGAAGCUGAACUUGCACUUCACCAAAUCUUCAAAUUUCAAAAAAAACAAACUAAACCUAAAACCAGAGAGCAAUCGUGAACGAUGCGG
rnacentral:lncRNA from 1 species